CAACGAGCGCAACCCUUGUCUUUAGUUGCCAUCAUUAAGUUGGGCACUCUAGAGAGACUGCCAGGGAUAACCUGGAGGAAGGUGGGGAUGACGUCAAAUCAUCAUGCCCCUUAUGCUUAGGGCUACACACGUGCUACAAUGGGUAGUACAGAGGGUUGCCAAGCCGUAAGGUGGAGCUAAUCCCUUAAAGCUACUCUCAGUUCGGAUUGUAGGCUGAAACUCGCCUACAUGAAGCUGGAGUUACUAGUAAUCGCAGAUCAGAAUGCUGCGGUGAAUGCGUUCCCGGGUCUUGUACACACCGCCCGUCACACCACGGGAGUUGGAGACGCCCGAAGCCGACUAUCUAACCUUUUGGAAGAAGUCGUCGAAGGUGGAAUCAAUAACUGGGGUGAAGUCGUAACAAGGUAGCCGUAUCGGAAGGUGCGGCUGGAUCACCUCCUUUCUAAGGA
rnacentral:rRNA from 1 species